rnacentral:rRNA from 1 species
AGUCGAGGGGUAUAGGUUUUCGGAUCUAGAGACCGGCGCACGGGUGUGUAACGCGUAUGCAAUCUACCUUUUACAGAGGGAUAGCCCAGAGAAAUUUGGAUUAAUACCUCAUAGUAUUAUGAAAUGGCAUCAUUUUAUAAUUAAAGUCACAACGGUAAAAGAUGAGCAUGCGUCCCAUUAGCUAGUUGGUAAGGUAACGGCUUACCAAGGCAACGAUGGGUAGGGGUCCUGAGAGGGAGAUCCCCCACACUGGUACUGAGACACGGACCAGACUCCUACGGGAGGCAGCAGUGAGGAAUAUUGGACAAUGGGCGCAAGCCUGAUCCAGCCAUGCCGCGUGCAGGAUGACGGUCCUAUGGAUUGUAAACUGCUUUUGUACGAGAAGAAACACUACUUCGUGAAGUAGCUUGACGGUAUCGUAAGAAUAAGGAUCGGCUAACUCCGUGCCAGCAGCCGCGGUAAUACGGAGGAUCCAAGCGUUAUCCGGAAUCAUUGGGUUUAAAGGGUCCGUAGGCGGUUUAGUAAGUCAGUGGUGAAAGCCCAUCGCUCAACGGUGGAACGGCCAUUGAUACUGCUAGACUUGAAUUAUUAGGAAGUAACUAGAAUAUGUAGUGUAGCGGUGAAAUGCUUAGAGAUUACAUGGAAUACCAAUUGCGAAGGCAGGUUACUACUAAUUGAUUGACGCUGAUGG